CCAAAUAUUGGCUUAGCCAGUUGUUCCCCAUUUGUGCAUUUGAUUUAGCCUUGAUCUAAAUCAAAGUGGAAAGUGUAGCUUUCCACUCAUCUUAUGUCGAGGGGUAAAUGAAAUCUGAACCAGCCCUUGAAUGUGGUGGUAAUCUGCCCAGUCUGAUGUCAGGCAUGACACUUAAAGUGUCAUUCUUUCCACUAUCCAAGUCAUUAGCAAAAAAAGCAGAACAAAAUUGGCCAAGAUCAAAUCCAGCUGAGCACCCACCUGACAAUAACUUCUCAUCAGCUGUAUUUCCUUUGGGCUUGCAGCAGUGGGGGAAGGAGUAUUGAAAAUGGGUUCUCUGAUGAACUACAGUGAUGUGUCUCACAAAGCAAAAGAACUAUGGGAACUGGUGCACAAGCAGUGAUAUAGUCUAAAAUAAGACUACAGCAGAUCAUAUUAUCACAGCAAGAAAAUAUGAGAAAAGAAGAUGGUAGAGGACUGUGUUUUCCAAUGUUCUGAGAAAUGCGCUAAGGAAAUCCUUAAGGAAAGUUCUGGAGAGCUCAGUCAGUCAUCUUCUUUUUGUGACCCCAGCCAUGUCUUCUCAAUAAAUUCACAGAAUGUGCUGAGAUGGAAGGAACUUAGAGGGAUCUUUGACUCCAGCUCCUGUCCCUGCAAAAACAAACAUGUUGAGGAAAACUAGGACUGUUUAAGUAACUGGCAUAUUAUUUUGGUCAGGAGAGUAAAGAAUCCGUCAACAACACAGUGACAAUGUGGCCUAAUAAAAGAGAAGUAACUUGUUAUAAGGAUCUGCUUUCUAAAUACAUAUUAAUGAGGCAAAAAGUACUGCUUUUGACUUGCAAGUAUGGCAACUAUUGUAAUGAAUGACUCUGCAUUCAAUAAAUUCUGAAUAGAAUAAAA